GGAUGAGAUUAAUCACUUGCCAGGAUAUAAAAAAAAAGAAAACCAAAACAAAGGCAGGACUUUGGAGAUGGAAUAUCGACAAGCAGGAAGGGGUUUUGCAGUCCACACUGCAGCGGGCCAGCUGUCUGUGCUCUGUAAGCCCCUGGGGCCUGGGCCCCCUGAGCCACUGGCCUCUGCUGUGAGCCACACCCCUUGACCUCCCUUAGGCCCUUUCAGACAGACCAGGUGCCCUGUUACAAGCUCCCCUCUCUCCCUGGGUUCUUUCUUCUCCUGUCUCCUGCUCCACAGGACUGUCUGCUCACCUUUGUAUUCCCAGGGACUGGCCUUUAGCAGAAUCUCCUGGCGCUCAGCAGGUGUCCAGUAACAAUCUGGUGAAUGAAGGCAAGGUUCAAGUGUAGUUGUGUGCUGUUUGCUCCGUUGCUUAGUCACAUCCGACUCUUUGCGACCCUUGGAUUGUGUAGCCUGCCAGGUUCCUCUGUCCACGGGAUUUCCCAGAGAAAGGAGCAGGAGGAUCUCUCCCAGAAAGGCAGCUCCUCAGCUGACCUGAGUUCAGGCUGCCUACACUUGGGCUCCCUGUGCUGGAUGAAACAGGCCCACUGACACUCCCACCCUCAGGCCAAGGGGCUCGGUCGGGCCCUGUUUCAAUCCAGGAGAACAAUGAUCAUGUGAAAUCUAGAACACACAGGAGGAAGCAGAGAGGUUAAAGCAGUUGCGGUCUCCAGGUUGGCCUGGAAAAAGCCUGACCUGAACUGCAUUAAAUUCAUUUUAAAAAAGUAACCUAGGACUCCCCUGGUGGUCCAGGGGUUAAGUAUCCACCUUUCAAUGCAGGGGACACGGGUUUGAUCCCUGGUCAGGACACUAAGAUCUCACAUGUCAUAGUGAAAGAUUCCAUAUGACCCAAGUAUCCAGAGUACUGCAGCUGAGACCUGAUGCAGCCAAAAAAAUAUUUAAAAAAAGUAAGAAGGGAAAAACUGGGCCUCACUAAAGUUUAUACUUGAAUGUUCAUAGUAACUUUGUUUGGAAUAAUUAAAAUGGCAGGACUUCUCAAACAUCCAUCAGUACAUGAAUGAAUAAAUGGAUAAUGAUACAUGAACGCCGUGGAACACCAGAGUAAAAAGGAAUGAACUACACAAGAGAACAGGGCGGAACCGCAAAAUCACUGCUGGUGAAGAAGGAAUGCUCUUCUGAAAAAUUCCAGCCUGCUUUGAUGUAAGAGACAUGGGUUCGAUCACUGGGUUGGGAAGAUCUCCUGGAGGAGGGCGUGGCAACACUCCAGUAUUCUUGCCUGGAGAAUCCCAUGGGCAGAGGAGCCUGGCGGGCUACAGUCCAUAAGGUCACAAAGAGUCGGACACGACUGAGCAACUGAGCAUGCACGUUGUUCAUGGGAUCCCCCUUCCCAGUCCUAAGAUAUUGUGGGUGAGCAGAGCCUAGACCACGUGUGAGUCCCCCCACCCUCUGGCACUGUGCACUACAGAUAGGUCAGCUACAAAUUGGCACUAGCCAAGAGCAUUUGCCAGUGACUGAACAAGAGUAGCAAGGGCAUUUGCCAUCUGUUCUUCGGAGGAGAUUGAAUCCUGUGCAGCUGCUGACCUUCAAUACCCCCUGAGGGCGAUUCAGGGUGGAGACUGAGGCACUCUGUGCUGCAGAGAAACUGGUGGAACAGGUCUUUACAUAGUUAGAUAUUUGCAGGAACUGAUGUCAAGAUCCCAACCCUCGCAUCUCCUCAUAUCUAGAAAAUCACUAAAUCCCUUCAUGGUGACAUCAGCUCCUCAUGGCUAAGAAAACCUUUUGUAAAGUAAGCCUUGACUGCACUAAACUCUGCCAUUUGUGGCUCAGAUGGUAAAGAAUCGGCCUGCAAUGUAGAAGACCCAGGUUUGAUCCCUGGGUCUGGAAGAUUCCCUGGAGAAGAACAUGCAACCCACCCUAGUAGUCUUGCUUGGAGAAUUCCAUGGACAGAGGAGCCUGGUAGCCUACAGUCCAUGGGGUCGCAAAGAGUUGGACACGACUGAGUAACUAACACUUUUACUUUUCCACCUUCACCAAAAUCAUUUUACUGACCUUCCCCCACUUACUCUUUGGAACAGUUUCUCAGAGCUAUCUGAG
ensembl:lncRNA